GACGAACGCUGGCGGCGUGCUUAACACAUGCAAGUCGAACGGAAAGGCCCUGCUUUUGUGGGGUGCUCGAGUGGCGAACGGGUGAGUAACACGUGAGUAACCUGCCCUUGACUUUGGGAUAACUUCAGGAAACUGGGGCUAAUACCGGAUAGGAGCUCCUGCUGCAUGGUGGGGGUUGGAAAGUUUCGGCGGUUGGGGAUGGACUCGCGGCUUAUCAGCUUGUUGGUGGGGUAGUGGCUUACCAAGGCUUUGACGGGUAGCCGGCCUGAGAGGGUGACCGGCCACAUUGGGCCUGAGCUACGGACCAGACUCCUACGGGAGGCAGCAGUGGGGAAUAUUGCACAAUGGGCGGAAGCCUGAUGCAGCAACGCCGCGUGCGGGAUGACGGCCUUCGGGUUGUAAACCGCUUUCGCCUGUGACGAAGCGUGAGUGACGGUAAUGGGUAAAGAAGCACCGGCUAACUACGUG
rnacentral:rRNA from 1 species